UGGCUCAGAACGAACGCUGGCGGCAAGCUUAACACAUGCAAGUCGAACGGACCGUAUACGCAGCUUGCUGCGUGUAUGGUUAGUGGCAGACGGGUGAGUAAUGCAUAGGAAUCUACCUAGUAGUAUGGGAUAGCCACUAGAAAUGGUGGGUAAUACUGUAUAAUCCCUGCGGGGGAAAGAUUUAUCGCUAUUAGAUGAGCCUAUGUCAGAUUAGCUAGUUGGUGGGGUAAUGGCCUACCAAGGCGGUGAUCUGUAGCUGGUCUGAGAGGAUGAUCAGCCACACUGGAACUGAGACACGGUCCAGACUCCUACGGGAGGCAGCAGUGGGGAAUAUUGGACAAUGGGCGCAAGCCUGAUCCAGCUAUGCCGCGUGAGUGAGGAAGGCCUUAGGGUUGUAAAACUCUUUCAGUAGGGAAGAUAAUGACGGUACCUACAGAAGAAGUC
rnacentral:rRNA from 1 species